CAAAAUCAGCGGGGAAAGAAGACCCUGUUGAGCUUGACUCUAGUCUGACUCUGUGAAGAGACAUGAAAGGUGUAGCAUAGGUGGGAGAUUGUCAAAUUGCCAUCGUUCGCGCGGUGGUCCGGUGAUCGCCAAUGAAAUACCACUACUUUGAUCGUUUCUUUACUUAUUCGGUAAAGCGAAAAAAUUGUGGCCAAUUUGGCGGUGUUUAUGUCGCUGUUGGUCAUUGUUUUCAUGUUAGAUUGAAGCUUUGUUUACAGCCGUCGCUUUGUGUCGCCAUUUGACGCAUUGUUGUACUGGGUUAUCCCGGUGUGUGGUGUAGUCAGUAUGGAUGAUCGGCGAUAGGUUUGAAGUGAUUCGCUCCGGAAACAGUGUCAGACGGGGAGUUUGACUGGGGCGGUACAUCUGUUAAACGAUAACGCAGGUGUCCUAAGGUAAGCUCAGCGAGGACAGAAACCUCGCUUAGAGUAAACGGGCACAAGCUUACUUGAUUUUGAUUUCCAGUACGAAUAGAAACCGCGAAAGCGUGGCCUAUCGAUCCUUUUGAUUGUGUAGAUUUCAUGCAAGAGGUGUCAGAAAAGUUACCACAGGGAUAACUGGCUUGUGGCAGCCAAGCGUCCAUAGCGACGUUGCUUUUUGAUCCUUCGAUGUCGGCUCUUCCUAUCAUUGCGAAGCAGAAUUCGCCAAGCGUUGGAUUGUUCACCCACCAAUAGGGAACGUGAGCUGGGUUUAGACCGUCGUGAGACAGGUUAGUUUUACCCUACUGAUGACAAGUCGUUGCGAUAGUAAUCCUGCUCAGUACGAGAGGAACCGCGGGAUCAGACAUUUGGUUCAUGCGCUCGGCUGAAAGGCCGGUGGCGCGAAGCUAGCAUCUGCAAGAUUAUGACUGAACGCCUCUAAGUCAGAAUCUUUUCUAGUCAUUGGCAACGAUAAGUUGCGUCCAGACUCGAUGCGAGGAAACGAUUAGGCUUUGCUAUACGGCGAAGCCAUUAUCAGACCACGGUAGCAGGCAGUAUGGGAUUGUUACGAAAAAGCAAUUUUUUGAAGUCAGUUGAAUUCAAUCAAACUGCUAACAAUUCCACUGCGAAUGACUCCAUUCGAAUCAAUCGAAGCACAGCGGUCAGGAUGUCGAACAUUUUGCAGACGACAAAAAUACCGGUUCAGGUGUCGUAAUCAGUAGAGCAGUCAACACACUGCGAUCUGAUGAGACUCAUCCUUGUAAUCGAUUUGCUC
rfam:Trichinella britovi scaffold478s, whole genome shotgun sequence.